CUGAUUGUAUUAAUAAAAUUACUCACGUUAUUUAACAUCAUAAUAGGAAAGUAACAAAGUUUCCAAGAUUCAACUCAAACUACAAUUAAAAAUUAAAUCACCAACCCCACCCUAGUGUUACAAUAUCAGAGCUCGUAGCGACUACAACUUAUUCAACUACUAAAUAACAGAACUAGGCGGAGGGCAUCCCAUCAUCUCCAUCCUCUAAAACGUCCCACAGCUACUCCUUGUCAACCUGAGUAUCUAUACUCAAGGUACAAUCACCGUACACGAAACAACACAACAAAAUAAAGGGUGAGAAAUCAUGCCAUAACAUAAUAAUAGAGAAAAGCAUGCACAUUAAAUAAAUAUCAAAAGAAUAUAGUUUCCACUAUCUCAAGAUUCUCAACAGUUACUAUGUAUAAUCUCUUCAUUUUACAUGUCACAGCUGCACAUCAUAUUCACAUUCAAACACCCAAAUUAACAUCAUCAUAUAUAAGCAUAUGGACUCUCUUAAUGAGCUAUAUGAUUGUGGUCCCACACCUAUCGUCAUAAUUUGCCAGAGGUAUGUUACUGGAUUUUCAUCGUCAUAAUUUGCCAGAGAUAUGUUAUUGGACUUUCAUCGUCAUUUCGUCAUCAUGAUUCCUCGACACGACUCUAUAUGCAUGAAUGAGACAGACUCUUCAAGUAUUAAAAGAUCAUAACAUCAUCAACAAAUCAGAAUCAUAAAUGCAGACUCUUCCUAUUAUGCACAACAUCAAGACAAACAUAUCAUCAUCAUUCACAUCGUCAUCAUAAGUAAACAUCGUCAUUCUCAUCAUCAAUGUAUAUUAGACACCAUCAUUCAAGUCAUCAUCAUAAUUAUACGUCAUCAUUCUCAUCGUCAAUAUAUAUAUACCACCCUCAUCAUCAUCAUAGAUAAACAUCAUUACUCUUAUCAUCAUACUGAUAUAGUUAUCGUCAUCCUCAUCAUCACUAACAUAUAAACAUUAUCAUUUCUCAUUGAUGACAGUUAGUCAUUCGUUAUUUUUAGAGUCUUUUUAUGUAAUUUUUGAGUUCACAAGCAAGCUUAAGCAGCAAGAAAACCAAGAAAAACUGAAGAAACUAAAAAAAGGGCAUCGUGUCACUAUUAACUGAAAAACGUGUCACGAUUUGAAGCUUUCAAGAAAAAUGCAUUCGACAUUGGUGAAAACGUGUCACGAUGGCAAAAACGUGACACAAUUAUGGAAACCCUAAUUUGUGUGGUUUGUUACACAAGAAGAAACGUGUCACGAUUUACUUAAAUAGUGCCACGAUUUUAGGAGUAGUUGUUGACUAUUUAAGCUGAAGACUAUUCUGAACACAAGGGUUACGAUUUGGAGAGAGCAAAGUGCGAUUUUGAGACUACAAGACGGCUAGAAGGGCGAUUUCUUCACUCUUUUACCAAUUCAUGUAUGUAUUGAUUCCUCUAAUAAUUAUGUUAUUUGUAAACACCAUUAUGAGUAGCUAAAUCCAUUAGAGGUUAGGUCUGAGAUGAUUCUUUGUAACCCUAAUUGAAAGAUGUUGCCGUGAAACUCUAUUUAUUGUCAAUGACAAUCUAGUUUUUAUUCAAUUCAAUUCCCUAGCUCAAGCUUCACUUUAGCUCCUAGGUUCUCUCCUCUUCUUGAAUCUUCAAGUUUCUCCUUCUCUAACCCUUUUCCUCUUUGCUCCCACUUUCUCUCUCUCUCUCUCUCUCAAAAUAUCUAUGUAAAUGAAAGUGUGUAGGAAAUUUCCUCUAAGACAAAACUUAUAUAGGAUAUCCCUCUGAUGGGCCUAACCCUAAAGCUUAGUGGACUUAACCCACUCCAACUCAAAUCUAAAAUGUUUCUACACUCACAACGGUAAAAUACUAUUAACGGUCACUUAACAGUAAAAUACUACCAACGGUCACUUAACGGUAAAGUACUAAUUACUACCCUAGUAACUUAGCAAAAAUAACGGUUCUCACUAACCACUAAAAUAAUUCUCACCAAAAUUACUAAUUUACUCUUACACCCAAAGGCUAAAUUAAUCCAAUGGUCCCUCAACUAAUUUCCGGUUUUCAUUUUGGUCCCAUAAGUCAUAAAAUCAUCAAUUUGCUCCCUCAACUUUUGCUCCUUUAUUCAAAAAGGUCCCUGAUUGUUAACUUUAACAUUAAAUAUCUCAAGUGGAACACAAACAAUGUUUGCCCUAGCAGAGCGUUCUCUCUGAGCAAAAGAUUAUCAACUUUUUCGAAAUCUUACGUGAAAUAUAGAAGGAGAAUGAAGAAUUCAUCUACAUAGUCAUACAGUGUCUUUAUUUAUUAUAGUAGGUAAUUAUGAUUACACCAUGAUAUUAUUGUUUUCCAUUUCUUAUAUGAGUUCAUGAUGGCAAACAUAGUUGCAUAAUAUAAUAAUACAUAUGAUCUUUUCAUUGAAAUCAACUGGGAACAACAUCUGGAUCUAUAUCGUACUCAAUAGUGCAUUGACAAGAUAAAUUAAUGCACUUCAGAGUUAGAUCAGUUGGACACAUAUCUGGUGGACAUUCAGGGGUAAAUAGGCAUGGAGGAGCAUCUGGGAGGCCUAACAAGAACAAAAUAAAUGUUAAUAUAGGUGAUGGAAUAUUAUAUAUAAGUUAAAUUAUAAAUUUGAAAAUGAUAUGAAACAUUACUCACUUCCAUUGGUUGUGACCAGAAAUAGGGAAACAAAGAUGAGCAAAGCAUAAAAGAAACUUAGGAUUCGAGCCAUAAUUUUUUCUCUUUUGCAUGUGAUAAAUGGAAAAUAUUUUGAUCAAUUUAUAAAGAAAAGGUAAUGCUUUGUUAACUUCAAUGAAAUAGUUUUUAACCCUAGAAGGUGCAAGAAGUCGUUCAAAAAAUUGAAAUAGUUGGUAAAUGUUUCUAUAGAUGUGUCGUGUGUAUCUCUUUGCAAGCUCAGUUAGUCACUUAAUUUUAGUAAAUAUAUCAUAUAAGAAUCUUAAUAAUAAUCAAAGUUCAUUAAUUUUUUUCAUUAAACUUUUAAUAAAAUUUUUUUAUUUCUCUUUUAGCUUUUUAUGGUAGAUAAGAGACACAUAAAUCUUUUGGUGGAAAUAAAAAUGUAAAGAAAUAGACAGAUAUAAAAAUUUAAACACUAGUGACGAAUGACGCAAAACUUCAUAAACAGGGUUUUAUCAGCCAAAUUCGCAAAAAAAAAUUGGGUCGUUCUAAGCAAAUUCACAAUAAUCAAAGCAAAUAUGAUUACACUAGGUGAGAUUGAUGGUUAUAAUUGUGAUUCUUUAAAAAUUAAAGCAAAAAUAACAGUCACAGGAAAGAGGGUUACAAUUGUCACUCUUUAAAAAUUGGAUCUUGCACUUUGUUAAAAUAUUUCUCAAUAUAAAACAAUACGCUUAGGUGUAUGUGUAGUUUGAUUUGCAAGAGCAAAGAGUAUACUUGAAGAAAUAACACACAAAAAUUAUGAUGGUUAUUUAAUGUGGGCUAGUUUUUUGUUGUACAAGGCUAAAACAGAUAAGAAAAUUUCUGCCACAUCAUUUUGGAGGAGAUUUUUGAGGUUCAUUAGAGGAGACUCAUGUCGAAGAAAUUCAACAUCAGAAGAGGCACGAAGCUUUGCAAAAAAAUCUGCACAUUGAUUCUCUUCCCUAAGGGUGUGAUUAACCAUAACAUUUCCCUGCUCCAAUAACACUUUUAUAUCUUGGAUUAAAACAGAAUAAGCAUGAAACCUCAUUGGGGGGACCAUUGAGGAUGUUGAUACAAUGUAAAGCAUCAGAGUAGCAAACAAAAUCAAGAAUACCCAUAUAUUUGGCCAACAAGAGACCUUUAUAGAUAGCAUAGAGCUCAUCAUACAAGAUCAGAUGAAUUUUGAAUGUAUCCAGAAAAGCCUAACAAGAAAAAACCUGCAUAGUUUCUUAAAAUUCCUCCAUAGCCAGCUCUUACUGGAGAUCCAAGACAACUUCCAUCAACAUUAAGGUUGACACAAGAAUGAUUAUUGUUGGUCCACUUGAUGAAUUGUCUUCAUAGAUAGUAUUAGAGAUGGAAGUAUAACAAGCUUUGAGGGUAUCAACCAUGCCUUGAAUGUUGAAGGAUAAUUUAGCAUUUGACCAAUUCUCAUUGCCUAAGCACAUCAUGUUUCGAUUCCUCCAAGCCCACCAUAAUAUGGGCUAGUAUAGUCUUCGCAACUGUGAGAUUUCACUAUAGUAUUUAGAUAGAUGUUUUUUCUAUCAUGUGCAAUAGACAAUAAUUACAUCAAAGUUUCACCGGAAAUGAUACUGACAGCAAAACGGUUAACCAAUACCCAAACAACAAAAGGGGUUAUGGCACCAAUCAUGAAAAUUAUAAUAAAAUGUAACAGAAUAAGCUUUAGACAUGAGAAGAAAAGUAGCUUGAUAUUUUCCAAAAGCUGAGAUGGAGUGCUUUUUUUUUUUUUUUUUGCACGGAAAAUUCUAGCGUUCCCUUCCUUCCAAAUUAGUCAAGUGCUUGCAAACUUAAGUACAUAAAGGAGCACCGAGCUUUAGAGAUACCUGAAGAAAUAUUGAUCUGAAGAUAAUGAGCUGAUAUGGUUAAAGGGUUAACCGAAGAAACACCUAACCAAAGAUGAACCAACUGCCAAACCUGACCAAAUACUUCGCAAUGCAAGAAUAACUGAUCCGCUGAUUCAAUAUUUCCACAACCAGAGACACAAACUGAGCAUCUUCCUGAAUAAUCCUUCUCCGAUAUAAAUUGUCCUUCAUAGGCACUCUAUCACGGAGAAGCCGCCAAGCAAAGACUGAAACUUUAAGCAGGACAUUUUACCUCCAGAUGCUAGGCGCAGAAGCUGAUGUAGCAGAAGGCAUGGUUGCAAACUCAGCCAACAGAGAAUGGUAAACACCACGCACCGUAUAACUUGCUACUAAAUCAGGAAUCCAAUACAAGACAUCAUUAAUAUUAACCUGCAACACAACAAUUAGUAACAACAAUGUACACUCCACUAACUGCUCCUCCUCCCAGGCCCUCAAUCCCCUUCUCCACUUCCACGCCUCCCCUCCCUCGUCCCACCCCAGCUGGAACAUUUGCGCAGCAAUUAAAAAUUUAUUUUCAGACAAAUCAAAUAACCGAUGAAAACGAACCUGCAAGGGAACCUCACCUACCCACCUAUCAAACCAAAAUAAAGUACCUGCACAAUUUCCGACCUUUAAACAAACAUUAGAAAACCAAGUACCCACCAUCGAACCAACACCAUCCCGCAUAUUAGCAAUUUCCUUCCACCACGUCGACCCAUCCCUUCCGCCUGCCUGAACUCGGCCCUCCACUAGCCCAUACCUAGCGGCGAAGACAUUAUAUCAUAAGCCAUGUGAAGGUGAAAAACACAAGAAGGGGGGGGGGGUUGAAUUGUGUUUUCUUUUUCUCUUAAAAAGGGAUUCUUCUUCUGAUAAAACUUCAGAAGCAGUUUGAUUGCUUCUGAUGAAAUGAUCAGAGUCAGAUUGCAGCGGAAAAGAACAGAGCAGAGAAAAGAAAGACAAAGACACAAGCAGUUAUCCUGGUUCCUUCCACAACACGGAAGUAGUCCAGUCCCCCUUGCACUUCCAAGGAGAUUUCACUAUAAUCACAAAGAUUACAACUGCUCAAUACUUUCUAAGUAUGAGACUUCACAAAAAUGCUCAAGCACACACGCAAGAGUCUUCCAAUGCUCAAGCACUAAGCAAGAGACUUCUAAUGCUCAAGCACGCAGGCAAGAGACUUCUAAUCAAACAAAAAUACAGAGAAUUGAGUUUGAAUUGAACACUUGAUAUACAAUCAGUGGUGUUCACAAUGCAAUACAGAAAAGACUCUAGACUUUGAAUUUCUAAGAUGUAUCAAAUCAGUGCAGAAAUUCAGUGUGCUUUGUAGAAUCAAAUUGACAGAGUUUUGGCGCUUUUGAACUUAUGUAUCUCUCUCUGUUAUCUUCAAGUCUUCACUCCUUUAUAUAGAGGCGUGAAAGAGACGUUGAGAUAAUCAGCACGUCUAAAGAGUCGUUUGAAAUCCUUUGAUUAUCCACCAGUGAUCCUUUGCCUGAUUUGGGUGUAGUCCUUUGAAGAAUAAACUUCAAAUUCAUUCCCAUCUUGAGUGUACAAUUCUGCAGGCAUGGCUGUUGUUUUGUCUUGUAGCGUAGACAGAAAACAGAGUAGUGGAGGUAGUGGUUGUACACUUGUACUUUGUCAACUCUAUUAACGAGAGACAAGAGCUCAGUGCUAUCCAUAUAUCCGUUGAUACCUCCCUUUCAAUUCUUCGUUCUUCUUUGAUAAGACUGAAUUGAAAAUCAGCUACUUUGAAUCUUCAGUUUGAUUAAAGGAUCAAAUGUAGCUUCUGGUGAAGAUAUUGCUUCUGAUGAAAACUUUUGCUUCUGAUGACUUUCUGCUUCUGAUGACGUCAUCUCUUCAGGAGCAGUUUAGCUUCAGGAGCAGUUUUCUUCAGAUGCUCAGAAUUUCUUUUUCUUUCCAUUGUUCUUCCAAGACCUAUUGAAAUAACUUGAGUAGCCUUUGGUCCUGUACACUUGAACAAUUAUUAGUAAUAACCAAUUGACAAUUUUUAAUACCUUGUUAUCAUCAAAACUUAAUAAGGUUCAUUGUGAAACACAUUUUGUUCCAACAAUCUCCCCCUUUUUGAUGAUGACAAACAAUAGUAUUUAAAAUGUUCAAUUGUUGUUGAUCUAAUUAAUAAGUUGACUACUGGGACAGAGGUUUGUAAGCUCCCCCUGAGUCUAAUAGAUCUUUAAGGUGAGGUUUGUAAGCUCCCCCUAAGUUCUAUUCUUAUUAAUUAAAUUUCAAUAAAAUACUUAUAAAAUCAAAUCAGAAGUAUUUAAAAGAAAUUUAGAGUAGGGCUCAGUGCCUUAAAAAAUACUAUACAUUUACUCCCCCUUUUGUCAUCAACAAAAAGAAUAGAAACAAAAGAAAGAGUAUCAGAGCAAACAGCAUUAAAAACAGUAAAUAUCAUCAGAGUUAAAGCUUGUAAAACAUAUUGAAGGUGAAAAAGCACAAGAUCCAGAAACAAUGAUAAUAUAUAUAAAGAAAGAUUAAGAUACAAAGACACAGCUACUAAGAACAAAAGUAAAAAACAAGCUAGAGUUGGGUGUGCAACUAAGGUUGGGCUUGCUUAUACAACUGUUCUAAGAGAUACUUGAUCUGAUCAUCCUUCUUCUGAAGUAGCUCAUCCUUUUCCCUCAUUCUUCGUUUAUAUCCAGCCUGAAUUCUAGCAGCCCUAGUGAUGUACUCUUCUUCUGGAUAGAAAGGAGUGAUGUCCAGCAGAGGCACAAAGUUCAGCUCUUUCUCCUUAGCUGCUUCAUGCAUGUCAUCCAAAAGCUUCUUCAGCAUAGCAGAGUGAGAUGACACACAUUUAGUUCUAAGCUGAUCCAGCAGCUCAUCAAAGCUCUUCUGAAGAUCCAUCCACUGAUCAUAAUAGUGAAUAGGAGGUGCAGGAACUGUUCUGCGAAGAAUCAGUGCCUGAAUCUCAUCACUAAGUCUAAUCAGCUGUUCCUCUAUAUACUCAGACUCCAGGAUAUGGUCAGGGAUGGGUGAAGGUUCAGUUUGAGUUGUAUUUGAUGUGGAAGGUUGGUCAGAGGUUAAGUCUAUUAUAGUGGGUGAGUCUGGUUGUUGUUGUUGUUCUGUUGUUUGGUCAGAAGCUGUUUGGUCAGGAGCAACUUGUUCAGAAGCAGUUUGCUCCUGAACAGUUUGCUCAGGGAUGGUUUGGGUUUCUGUUUGGGUUUCCAAGACAGUCUUUUCAGAAACUGUCUUAGAGGCCUUAGUGGGUGUUGGUUGCAUUUCACCACCUAGAUGUUUUUCUAAGUUGUGAAGGGUUGAGGAUUCUUGGUGUUGGGGGGUUUCUGAAGUAGUUGCAUCUGAAGCUACUUCAGAGGCUUUUUGUGGAGUUUGGUUAUUUGGUGAGUUUGUUUGGGUAGGUUCAGGUUGUUGUAUACUAACAGGUUCUGGAGUAUCUGGAUAUAGUGGAUGAGUAGUAGGCAAAUUGAAUUUCUCACAAAGUUUUAUCCUAUUUUUUGAAAAUUCUAUUUGAGUACUCUCAUAGUCAAGUGUUCCAUACUCUGUUAGUUUGGUAGGUUUGGUUUUUAGAAGCUUGUUUAUAUGUUGGCUAAGGGGUUGGUCAUCUGAUUCUGUGGAUGAUGAAGAGGGUGAAGAGGGUAGAGAUAGAGACUGAGUAUUAGUUGGAGCUUUAGAUGGAUUACCUGAGGACUGAGCUUCUGGAUGAAUUGCUUCUGGAGCUUUUGAAGCUGGUUCUGAUGAAGUUGCUCCUGAAGCUUGCUUAUUCUUCAAGGCUUGAGAAAGCAGAGUUGCUCCAUACUGAACUGUUUCUUGCUCUAACUCAGAAGCUAAAGCAGCGAUGACAGGAGUAGGCACAUACCCUGCAGCCUUGAGACGCUCAUCCCUUUCUUUUUCAUACAACAUCUUCAUCCUUUUCUUUUCUGCUAUCUUGGAUGCAGAAACCUCCCUAGCAUACUGCCUCAUUUCUUCAGUCAUUUCAAAACUGGGCAUGACUAUGGGCUCAGAAGUUGCAGUCCUUUUUGCCUUCUUGGGGCUUGAGUCUUCAUCCCAAUUUUCUUCCAUUUCUUUCAACAUUUCUUCCCUUCUUCCUUCAGCUGUCUUCAGAUUUUUUGUUAAAUUAGACCUCUUCCUUUUGAUGGUCUGAAGAGCAGCUUCUCUUUUAUUUUUGGGACUUGAAGGCUUUUCAGAAGCAGCUUGAUCAGAAGCAGCUUGUUCAGAACCAGUUUGUUCAGAAGCAGGCUGUUCUGCUGUUUCUUGAGUACUCCUUGUCCUUUUUCUGAUAAGAGGGACAUCAUCCAAAUCCUCCACUUCCUCAAGAAUGGUGGACAUAGCAGAUUUUUCCUUCUUGGCUUUCUUAUGCUUCUGAGCAUCCACCUCAGUAGCAUCUUCAGCAAGGUAUUCUUCCUUGGUGAUCUGCUUCUUUUUAGAUUUUCUGCCUUUGGCCACAGGCAGAUCACCACCAUACAUUUCUUCUGGGAUAUCUUUCAGGCUGAUUUUCUUGUUGUAGUUCUUGUAGUAGUCUAAGAUGUAGGCCCUCUGCACAUCCAGGGGAUCUUUCUUGCAGAUAGGGAUGUGAUGAGUGACUAGAUCAGAUAUGACAUCAGAUUCAUGCAUAUCUGUAUCUAGUUUCCUGCAUGUUGAAAUCAGCCUCAUCUUGACUAAGGUUGCCCCAUUGAUUAUUUUUCCUGUGACUGCUCCCAACUUCUGAUUAUCAUAAAUACCCACGUCUUUCAGGGCACUUAGGAGUCCUCCUUCUUGAAAGAUUAUGGAGAGCAGCCUUCCAUAGGGAACAAACUUCCUGUUCUCCAUCUGGCUCUUCUUGAGUUCUUUGAUCAUGUAUUUAAACAUAUACUUAGGAACGUUCAUUGUUGUUUCCUGAGAGAUGGUGUGAUGCAGAAAGACUUUGUGACCAAGUGAAGGUUGAUCAUUUCCUCCACCUUUGGGAAAAAUGUUUUCAUUCUAGAUCUUCAGCAGCAUUUUCUUUUCCAUGCUUAAGGUGCUGUAAGGCUUAGCAUCCUUUGAUCCGUAGAUAGUGUUGUUUACUAUUUCCUUCCAAGGGCUUGUUCUGGGGUUAGGAAUCUCUUCUCCAUCGUAUGUCCCAGAAGCAUCUCUCCUCAUAGCUUGAGCAAUCACUUGCUCAUUGAUUGUUACAGGAAUCCCCAUGACGUUUGAUCUAAUCUCAGUCCCAGUGAAGGCGAGUAGACCCAUUUCUUCUCUGGUUUUUCCCUCCAAAGUAGGAUCAACCAGAAUCAUCUGAGCUUCUUCCUGUUUAGCAGCAACUUUGUCAAACACUGAAGCUCUUACCCAGAAUUGUCUGACAAGCACUUCAUAAGUAGGACCGUUGAGAAGACUGAAGUAACUCAUUAGCUUCUGCUUCUUGUAGAAUCUUACCAAGUCGCACCCAUGGUGAGUUAGAGAAGUGAAAUCCACAGGAUUUUCCGCUUGAAUGAUUAGCUCCCAUUCCUCAAUAGACAUAGUUCUUCCUUUGAUUUCAUAAGCAGGAGUAUCUAUAUCCAUAUUCGAUGAAGAACCACCGGCAGAACUUGAAGAUGCCAUUGAUUUGAAGUAGAAUUAGGGUUCUAAGGUGUUUUGAGAGGUUGAGAGAAUGUGCUUACUUACACAGAGGGUUGAGAGGAAAUAAGAAAGUGUUUGUUGUGAAGUGAGAAGUGUGUGAAAUGACUUAGUGUUUUUUAUUAAAACGUUUGUAAUUCAGAAGGGACAAACAAACACAACAUUAAUGACAAAUUGGGGGCGCGUGUAAGUAUGUUAAAAAGCGAAUAAAAACAUCAUUGCCCUUUUUGUUAUACUCCAAUACAAAUAGACCACGUCAGAGACUCUUCAGAAAACUACCUUUUGGGUAAUGGGACAGCUGUUACAUAAAGUAACUGCCAACGUUCCCACUAACCAAGCUUUUCAGAAGCAAAGAAUAACACUUCUGAAGUUUUAGUGCUGACGUCAUCUUCAGAAGCACAUUUUCCUCAGAACCUCAGUUAAGAGCUUCUGAUGAACCAAAAUGCUUCUGAAUAAACUUCAGAACCAAACUUCUUAUUCAGAGGCAAGCAAAUUUUCAAUCAGACACAAAAUGCAUGUUCAAAUUUUUCUUAAUAAAAUCAAAUCUUUCAACAGACAAAGGUUUUGUAAAUAUAUCAGCCCAUUGAUGUUCAGUAUCAAUGAAUUGUAUAUCUAAAAUUCCUUUUUGAACAUAGUCUCUGAUAAAAUGGUGUUUGAUUUCAAUAUGCUUGGCUCUUGAAUGUAGAAUUGGAUUCUUUGACAAACAAAUAGCAGCAGUAUUAUCACAAUAAAUGGGAAUACUGUUAGCAUUGAUCUGAUAGUCUUCCAACUGAUGUUUCAUCCAAAGUAGUUGUGUGCAACAACUUGCAGCUGAAAUGUACUCUGCUUCUGCUGUAGACAUAGCAAUAGUUGCUUGUCUUUUGCUUGCCCAGGAUAUCAGAUUCUCUCCCAGGAAUUGACAAUUUCCACUGGUUGAUUUUCUUUCAAUCCUAUCACCAGCAUAAUCAGCAUCACAGAAUCCAAUCAACUUAUAAUCUAGGGAUUUCCUAUACAGGAGUCCAAGAUUAGUUGUUCCUUUCAGAUACCUGAAGAUUCUCUUAACUGCAGUUAAAUGAGAUUCUCUAGGAUCUGAUUGAAAUCUUGCACACAAGCAUACACUGAAUAAAAUAUCAGGUCUAGAUGCAGUGAGGUAUAACAGAGAACCAAUCAUACCUCUGUAUAGCUUCUGGUCUACUACUGUUCCAGUAUCUUCUUUGCUUAAAGUGCAGGUUGGAUGCAUUGGAGUGUUCAUCACUUUACAAUCUUCUAGCUUGAACUUCUUCAGAAGCUCCUUUGUAUAUUUUGUUUGAUGAACAUAUACUCCUUCUUUACUUUGGUUGAUUUGAAUUCCCAGAAAGAAUUUCAAUUCUUCCAUCAUACUCAUUUCAAAUUCAUCCUGCAUUAACUUAGAAAAUUCUUUGCAAAGAGAUGCAUUAGUAGAACCAAAUAUUAUAUCAUCAACAUAUAUUUGCACAAUCAAAAUAUCUUUCUUAAGAGUCCUUCUGAAGAGUGUUGUGUCAACUUGUCCUCUUUCAAAAUCAUUUUUAAUUAAGAAAUUACUUAGUCUAUCAUACCAAGCUCUGGGAGCUUGUUUCAAGCCAUAUAGUGAUUUCUUAAGUUUAUAAACAUGGUCAGGAUGCUUAAGAUCCUCAAACCCAGGAGGUUGUUUAACAUACACUUCUUCUUCAAUGACACCAUUAAGAAAGGCACUUUUGACAUCCAUUUGAUAUAAUAUUAUGCCAUGAUUAAUUGCGUAGGAUAGAAGUAACCUGAUUGCUUCCAAUCUUGCAACUGGAGCAAAUGUUUCAGUGUAAUCAAUGCCUUCUUGUUGACUGUAGCCUUGAGCAACAAGUCUGGCUUUGUUUCUGGUUACUUCUCCUUGUUCAUUCAGCUUGUUUCUGAAUACCCAUUUUGUUCCAAUAAUGUUUUUCUGAAAAGGUUUGGGUACCAGAUCCCACACAUCAUUCCUUUGGAAUUGAUUUAGCUCUUCUUGCAUAGCUAAUAUCCAUCCAUCAUCUGUGAGAGCUUCUUCAACAGUUUUAGGCUCAAUUAUUGAAAGCAGUCCUAUUAAUGAUUCUUCUUGUCUAAAAUGUGAUCUUGUUCUUCUAGGACUAUCUUUGCUUCCAAUGAUUAGCUCCUCAGGAUGUGAAGAUUUGUGCUUGAAUUUAGGUUGAAUAACCUGCUGAGUGUUAUCUUGAAAGUCCUCAGAAGCAAUUUCAUUCUGUACUUUUGGGCUAUGUUCUGCUUCUGAAUUAGACUCAGCUUCUGGAGUGAUUUCAGUUUCUGGACUAGAUUCAACUUCUGUAUACUUUUCAGAUUCAGAAGGUUGAUCAGAUUCUGAUGCAUCUUCAGAAUCAGUUGUACCUGCAUUACUUUCACUUUGCUCUGAAGUUUUACUUUCAGGCUCUCUAUCAUCAAAUUUUACAUGCAUAGAUUCUUCAACACAUUGUGUUUCUGAAUUAUACACUCUGUAUGCCUUUGACCUUUCAGAGUAACCUAAAAAUAUUCCUCUUUGAGCCUUGACAUCAAAUUUCUUCAGAUAGUCUUUAGUGUUUAAGAUGUAACAAGUACAUCCAAACUGAUGAAAGUAAGAGAUAUUGGGUCUUCUUCCUUUAAAGAGUUCAUAUGCUAUUUUCUCCAACAUAGGUCUGAUAUAGAUCCUAUUUUGAAUAUAACAUGAAGUAUUGACUGCUUCUGCCCAAAAAUGUUUAGCUAAGUUGUUUUCAUGGAUCAUGGUUCUGGCCAUUUCUUGUAAGGUUCUGUUCUUUCUUUCUACAACCCCAUUUUGUUGUGGAGUUCUACGAGAAGAAAACUCAUGGUGAAUCCCAUGUUUUUCACAAAAAAGUUCAAAUGGCUCAUUUUCAAAUUCUCCACCAUGAUCACUUCUGACUUUCAAAAUUUUCAAUUCUUUUUCAGAUUGUAUUUGAGUGCAGAAGCUGCUAAACACUUCACAUGCAUAGUCUUUACUUUUAAUGAAUUUUACCCAAGUCCAUCUGCUGUAAUCAUCAACAAUGACUAAUCCAUAUUUACUUCCAUAUAAAGAUGCAGUGUUAACUGGACCAAAAAGAUCAAUAUGGAGUAAUUCUAAGGGUCUGGAGGUUGAUACAAUGUCUUUAGAUUUGAAAGAAUUUUUCACAAUUUUCCCUUUCUGACAUGCACCACAAAGUGCAUCUGAAUGAUAAUCAAUGUUAGGCAAUCCUUUGACCAGUUGUAACUUGCUAAUUUUAGAAAUUAAUCUCCAAUUAGCAUGUCCCAACCUUUUAUGCCAUACCCAUUUUUUAUCAUUCAUUGACAGAAGGCAAACUACCUUCUGAUCAGCCAGAUCAGAGAAAUUUAUUUUAUAGACAUUCUCAACUCUCUUUCCCUUGAAUGUAAUGGAUUUGUCAUCCUUGUUGACUAGUGUGCAGUUGGUCUUACUGAACGUUACAUCAUACCCAUUGUCACAAAAUUGACUAAUGCUCAAUAGGUUAUGCUUCAUACCAUCUACUAGCCACACAUUAUUAAUUGAGAUGGAGGAAUUACCAAUAGUACCUGUACCAAUGAUCUUUCCAGUUUGGUUGCCACCAAACUUCACUUCUCCUCCAUCUUUCAUUGUAAGGGUAAGGAACAAAGCUUUCUCUCCAGUCAUGUGCCUUGAACAUCCGCUGUCUAGGUACCAUGACCUUUGUUUCUCUCUUGCCCUUAAGCACACAUCAUUUUCAUCUUCUGAAUCUGAUUCAGCUUCUGAUACUGUUUCUGAUGAUACUGCUGCCACUAACCCAACGGCUGCCUUAGCAUCAUCAUCAGCUUCUUCUUUAUCAGAACCAGAUUCACUAUCCAAAUCUUCCCAGGUCGCCAUCAAGCUCUUUUUGAUUUGCUUUCUGAAUUUACUGGAGUUGAAGCUUGAUUUCUUGGAUUUGCCUUUAAACUUCUCCUUCUGAAGAUCAGGGCAAUCAGCAAUGAAAUGACCAGGCUUCUUACAAUUGAAGCAUCCCUUCUGAUCUUCUUUCUUGAAGUUCUUGUAGCUACCUCUCUUGCUCAAAAAUUUCUUCUGCUUCCUUGCCAGAUACUCAAGCUUGUUGGACAGCAUAGCCAUCUUUACAGAUUGAUCUUCAUCAGAAUCUCCAUCAGGUGAUUCUUCUUCAGAUUCACUGGCUUUGUAGGCUUUGGAAGACUUUGAGGUCUUUCCUUUAGAUGGUAAAGCAAUGGAUUUACUCUUCUUAGAGGUUUCAUGCUCAUUUAGACUCAUUUCAUGCACUUUGAGUGAGCUAACAAGAUCUUCAACACUUAAAGUAUUUAGAUCCUUAGCUUCCUCAAUGGCAGUUACUUUGGGUCUCCAUCUUGAAGGUAGGCUUCUCAAAAUCUUACUAACAUGAUCAGAAGAAACAUAGCUUUUCUUCAGUAUUUGCAAUCCAGAAACUAAAGUUUGAAAUCUUGAGUACAUUUCUUCUAUACUCUCAUCAUCCUUCAUUCUGAAAAGUUCAUACUGAUGAACUAGCAUCAAAGCUUUAGCCUCUUUUACUUUCUUGCUGCCUUCAAAGUUUGCACAAAGAGAAGCAAACAUAGCUUUCGCAGUAGAUUUGUCACUCAUUUUCAUGUAUUCGGUGCGAGGUAUAGAAGCCACAAUGAUUCCUCUUAUCUUGUGGUGUUUCUUAUAAAGCUUCUUCUGAGCAGGAGUAUGUAUUCUUCUGUCUAUAGCAGCUCCUUCUUCAUCCAAAUCCAGAUCAUCAACUCCAUCUUCCAGUAUAUCCCAUAGCUCUUCAUCCAAUCCCAUGAUAAAGCUGUACAUAUUAGUUUUCCACCAUGAAAACUCUUCUGGAUCUCCAUUAAACUUUGGAGCUUUUCCAGAGUCUGUUUUCUUGUCAGCAGUAUCAUAGUCAUGCUUGACACUUGUGUAUUUUGUAGUAACUGAUUCCUCAUCUCCAGACAUGUUUUUCUAAUAGAUCUUGAACUGUAACACGGUUAAGUGCUGUGAUAACAGAGCAAGCUCUGAUACCAAUUGAAGGUGAAAAACACAAGAAGGGGGGGGGGGGGGGGGGUUGAAUUGUGUUUUCUUUUUCUCUUAAAAAGGGAUUCUUCUUCUGAUAAAACUUCAGAAGCAGUUUGAUUGCUUCUGAUGAAAUGAUCAGAGUCAGAUUGCAGCGGAAAAGAACAGAGCAGAGAAAAGAAAGACAAAGACACAAGCAGUUAUCCUGGUUCCUUCCACAACACGGAAGUAGUCCAGUCCCCCUUGCACUUCCAAGGAGAUUUCACUAUAAUCACAAAGAUUACAACUGCUCAAUACUUUCUAAGUAUGAGACUUCACAAAAAUGCUCAAGCACACACGCAAGAGUCUUCCAAUGCUCAAGCACUAAGCAAGAGACUUCUAAUGCUCAAGCACGCAGGCAAGAGACUUCUAAUCAAACAAAAAUACAGAGAAUUGAGUUUGAAUUGAACACUUGAUAUACAAUCAGUGGUGUUCACAAUGCAAUACAGAAAAGACUCUAGACUUUGAAUUUCUAAGAUGUAUCAAAUCAGUGCAGAAAUUCAGUGUGCUUUGUAGAAUCAAAUUGACAGAGUUUUGGCGCUUUUGAACUUAUGUAUCUCUCUCUGUUAUCUUCAAGUCUUCACUCCUUUAUAUAGAGGCGUGAAAGAGACGUUGAGAUAAUCAGCACGUCUAAAGAGUCGUUUGAAAUCCUUUGAUUAUCCACCAGUGAUCCUUUGCCUGAUUUGGGUGUAGUCCUUUGAAGAAUAAACUUCAAAUUCAUUCCCAUCUUGAGUGUACAAUUCUGCAGGCAUGGCUGUUGUUUUGUCUUGUAGCGUAGACAGAAAACAGAGUAGUGGAGGUAGUGGUUGUACACUUGUACUUUGUCAACUCUAUUAACGAGAGACAAGAGCUCAGUGCUAUCCAUAUAUCCGUUGAUACCUCCCUUUCAAUUCUUCGUUCUUCUUUGAUAAGACUGAAUUGAAAAUCAGCUACUUUGAAUCUUCAGUUUGAUUAAAGGAUCAAAUGUAGCUUCUGGUGAAGAUAUUGCUUCUGAUGAAAACUUUUGCUUCUGAUGACUUUCUGCUUCUGAUGACGUCAUCUCUUCAGGAGCAGUUUAGCUUCAGGAGCAGUUUUCUUCAGAUGCUCAGAAUUUCUUUUUCUUUCCAUUGUUCUUCCAAGACCUAUUGAAAUAACUUGAGUAGCCUUUGGUCCUGUACACUUGAACAAUUAUUAGUAAUAACCAAUUGACAAUUUUUAAUACCUUGUUAUCAUCAAAACUUAAUAAGGUUCAUUGUGAAACACAUUUUGUUCCAACACCAUGUCUCUCUGUCACCAACCUCCAGCACCACUUCCCCAGCAAUUCUAAGUUAAAUUCCCUAAUUCUCCUCACCCUCAAACCACCAACCUCAUUAUCCAAACAAAUAGUAUUCCAAUGAAUCCAAGAAAUUUUCCUAUUAUCCUCACAUCCUCCAAAAAAAAAAAACAAAUAAAAAGAUAUUCGAUAGAGGAGCUUGUUGUUGGCGCCUUUUUGGAACUGCGGCGGAUUCUGCGCAACCUCCAACAAAGCUACCAAGGUACUCAACUUCUCUAACUCGCCCCGCAGUGUUGUCACCUCUUCACGAAGCUCGUGGAUUUCUUGCUCGAUCGUAUCCAUUUCCUUUUUAGUGUUUGCAUGAGUAUUGUAGGUGCGAGUUGGCUUAGGGUGAGGACGUCGAGCCACUUUCGAGGCAGAUUGACCUUUUGUAUGAAAGAGCAAUAUGUGAGACUCAGACCUUUGAAACUAUGAAUUCAUAAUGAUGCAUGAUUUUUAUGAAAAAAGGACAAUUUUAUUUAUUUUUGAAGGACUUUCAAAGCAUUUGUGAACAUCACAGAGAACCUUGUUUUAUUUAACAAUUUUUUAGGUUUACAAUCAGUUCCUUUUUUAGAAGCAAAAAAAAAAACGCUAGGAAAAGAAGUCCCUAACAAAAGCUAAAGUCUAGUUAAGACUUUUGAAGAUGUAUUUCUUGGUGCUCCUUUUUACAAGGUCCAUAUAUGUGAUGUUUACAAGACGACUUAUCUAAGUCCUUCGAUAUUAAUGAGAAUUUUUUUUGAAUGCAUGCAUGCAUGAUAAUGCAACAAAAACAUUGAAAACAUGGUUUAUGGUUUAGGCCCAUGGUGAUGGACUCAAGGGUAAGAGCCCCCAUAUGGUAAGGACUAUGGUUUCAUUUGUUGCUGCAUUAUGGGUUCUACCAAGUUCCCAAAGUCAUUGACCCUUUCCGGAUAUCAUUGGCUUACAAGACUGACUUCUGGUCCAACAAUAUUCGCAAGAGAAUCUAUGCAGCUCGACUGAUCUCAUUUUCUUUUUCUGGAUCUUCGAGAUGUACGUUGUGAAAUGAAUCUUAGACAUUUUCAUGAAUAAAUUUUUUUGCACUAAAUCAAUAUCCUUUUGUAAAAUAGGGCAGUUUUGUAAAAUAUUCGCAGAUUGUACAUGCUCAAGAAUAGGGAUCAAAUCCCAUUUAAUAUUUUCGCCAAUCAUCGCAUAUGUUGCAUUAAACAAAGACAUAUGGAAUGAAGUGCUUACCUUGGUUUGGUCAACUUGCUUUUCGACUUCACUUCCUUUCUCCAUAGUUUAAUCCACAUUAAUCAAUUGCUGCUUCAUGUGAUCAACUGGUUUCGACGUGAUGUAUGUGUCCAUGUUGACCACUUUCUUUGGUACAUCUUGCUACAAAAGUUUCUUUGAUGUUGGCUAAUCUUUAUCGAAAGGUUUCUUCCUGAGAACAAUUGUUUGUGGGGAUGGAUUCAUUUGCAAGUCGAAACGGAACGACCUAUGACAUGGUAAUGAGACCAACAUUCAAGGAGUCGGUCGUAAGUUACUUGUCAUAAAAAUUGUAUCCAUAUCCAUUAAAAUUCUUGCAUAGUGACCGAAAAGUUUGUUCUGUUUGUAUCGUCUAGAUUUAAUAGUGUGCCAACGACACUAGCAAUUUUGAAGAGCAUCUGAUCCUACCAAUAUUCUUGUGGCAAAUAAAUUAAACGGAUCCAAACCCGUACAUGAGUUUGACAUUGAGUAAUAAGAUUAAAGUCCUCUUGCCGUUGCAAUAUUUGAUGGACACCCGAUUUAAGAUUCAUAGUGUUCCUAGCUCAUACUAAACAUAAAUCUUCAUAGUUUGAAAACUUAAAAUCAUAAAACCCACGUGUGAGAGAAAUCAUUUCCCAUCGCCAUGUAGUAUUUCACAGCUUGGAAAGCUUAAGCAUCAAAUCCUUCACGCUAUACGACUUAUCUCCUUUGUGACUCUAAAAUGAAAAGCUAUUAGAAAUAAUUUUUCACAAUUUUAUUUUUUUUUUGAAAUGUUAACUAGUGCCUUCGGGGCACUAGUUAAAGACUACAAGUGGUAAGUAUUUAUGAAAAUGUGUGUAUUAAUUGCAUUGGAAAUUGAAAUAUUUGAUUUUUUUUAAAAUAAUUGUUUAUAUUAGUAUGCUUAAAGAGUGACCCGAAGGCACUCGUUAACAAGACUCUCCAAAACAAGGAGAUAACACGUGUACAAACUAAAACUUUUUUUUAAAUGAUUUUUAUGGUUAAUAUGUUGGAACAAAAUGUGUUUAACACUACCCUUUAGAGUUUUGAUGAUAACAAGGUAUUAAAAAUUGUCAAUUGGAUAUGCUAAUAUUUGUUCAACUGUGCAGGACCAUAGACAAAAAUUUAAUGUCUCUUUGAAGCUUAGAUUCUGGAAGAACAAAUGAGAGCAAUGGAAUCAACAAGAUGGAAGCUUGAAGCAUCUGAAGAAAAGAGGUUCUGAAGUCAAGUGCUCCUGAAGUGAUGAUGUCAUCAGAAGCAAGUUCAUUAGAAGCACCUCAUCAAAAGCAUUAUCACCAGAAGCAGUUUUUCAUCAGAAGCUGAAGAUCAUCAGAAGAUGAGAGAAUUAAAGCUUCAAAGGCUGUUCAAAAUAUUUAAUCAUCAGAAGUCAAAAGAGUGAAGCAACGGCUAAUUCAAAAGGAUUUGAAUGCAUUAGAUGUUUGUUCUUUGAAGAGCGUUGAAAAAGGACAAUUGUACGAAGUGUACAACCACUACUCUCUUUGUGUCUACAUCAGGACAAGAAUAACAGCUAUGCCUGCAACGAUGUUCCUCCAUACUUGGAAUGGAUUUGAAAUUGAUCCUUCAUAGUAUAAUAACCAAAUCGGGAAAAAGAUCAUUGGUGAUUUGAUCAAGCUUCAAACGACUCUUUUUGAUGUGUUGGGAAUUCACAACGUCUCUUUCACACCUCUAUAUAAAGGAGUGAAGACUUAGAGAAUGACAAGACUCAUACAACAAUUUACAAGUGUCAAAACUCUGUCAAAAUUGUUCUGCAUCAAAAGUUCACUUAGAAUUUCUUAACAACUUUCAUAUCUUAGAAAUUCUAUAGUCUUAAGAGUCUGUAUCUGAUUUGUAUUGUGAAUACCACUAAUUGUAUAUCAAGUGUUCAACCUCAAACAUAUUUAUUUGCAAUUCUAUUUGAAUAGAAGUCUCUUGCUUUUGUGCUUGAGUAUAGAAAGUCUCUUGAUUUAGUUCUUGAGCAUAGGAAAUCUCUUUCAGUCUUGAGUAGUUUGAAGUCUCUUGGUAGUUUUAGCAGUGAGCAAUUGUAAUCAAAUAUUACAUUUUUAGUGGACUCUCCUUGGAAGUGCAAGAGGAAUAUGACUACUUCCGGUUUGUGGAAGGAACCUCUAUAAUUGCUUUGUGUCUUUCUUCUCUCUCUCUCUCUCUCUCUCUCUCUCUCUCUCUCUCUAUCUUUUUAUCCGCUGCAUUUAGAAUCUGAACAUCACUUCAAAAGCUGAAUUCUAUCUGCUUCUGAUCAGUGACUUCAGUAGGAAAAAACUAACACAAUUCAACCCCUCCACUACUCUCUUUGUGUCUACAUCAGGACAAGAAUAACAGCUAUGCCUGCAACGAUGUUCCUCCAUACUUGGAAUGGAUUUGAAAUUGAUCCUUCAUAGUAUAAUAACCAAAUCGGGAAAAAGAUCAUUGGUGAUUUGAUCAAGCUUCAAACGACUCUUUUUGAUGUGUUGGGAAUUCACAACGUCUCUUUCACACCUCUAUAUAAAGGAGUGAAGACUUAGAGAAUGACAAGACUCAUACAACAAUUUACAAGUGUCAAAACUCUGUCAAAAUUGUUCUGCAUCAAAAGUUCACUUAGAAUUUCUUAACAACUUUCAUAUCUUAGAAAUUCUAUAGUCUUAAGAGUCUGUAUCUGAUUUGUAUUGUGAAUACCACUAAUUGUAUAUCAAGUGUUCAACCUCAAACAUAUUUAUUUGCAAUUCUAUUUGAAUAGAAGUCUCUUGCUUUUGUGCUUGAGUAUAGAAAGUCUCUUGAUUUAGUUCUUGAGCAUAGGAAAUCUCUUGCAGUCUUGAGUAGUUUGAAGUCUCUUGGUAGUUUUAGCAGUGAGCAAUUGUAAUCAAAUAUUACAUUUUUAGUGGACUCUCCUUGGAAGUGCAAGAGGAAUAUGACUACUUCCGGUUUGUGGAAGGAACCUCUAUAAUUGCUUUGUGUCUUUCUUCUCUCUCUCUCUCUCUCUCUCUCUCUCUCUCUCUCUCUAUCUAUCUAUCUUUUUAUCCGCUGCAUUUAGAAUCUGAACAUCACUUCAAAAGCUGAAUUCUAUCUGCUUCUGAUCAGUGACUUCAGUAGGAAAAAACUAACACAAUUCAACCCCCCCCCCCCCCCCCUCCGGGUGUGUUUUUCUCACCUUCAUAAUAAACAAACAAAAAUAUCUUCAAAUCUUUAUUAAGAUCUCAAAAAAAAUCUCUAGAUUCUCUGCAUAUAAAAUCUGCUGUUUUUUUAAAAGUUAAAGCAAACACAUCCUAAAUCUAAAAUAACUGUUGCACAUGGGAAUCAUUUUUUCAAGACAGCGCUCUGCCCCAGCAAAGCGUUCUCUCCAAACAAAAGAUGAUCAACUUUUUUGAAAUCAUACGUGAAAUAUAGAAUUAUAAUGAAGAAUUCAUCUAUAUGAUCGUAAAGUGUCUUUAUUUAUUAUAGUAGGUAAUUAUGAUUACACUAUUGUUUUCCAUUUCUUCUAUGAGUUCAUGAUGACAACAUAGUUGCAUAAUAUAACAAUACAUAUGUUUUUUUCAUUGAAAUUGACAACUUAAUCUAUAUCGUACUCAGAAGUGCAUUGACAAGUUAAAUUAAUGCACUUCAGAGUUAGAUCAGUUGGACACAUAUCUGGUGGACAUUCAGGGGUAAAUAGGCAUGGAGGAGCAUCUGGGAGGCCUAACAAGAACAAAAUAAAUGUUAAUAUAGAUGAUGGAAUAUUAUAUAUAAGUUAAAUUAUAAUUUUGAAAAUGAUUUAAAACAUUACUCACUUCCAUUGAUUGCGAUCAUAAAUAGGGAAACAAAGAUGAGUAAAGUAUAAAAGAAAUAAAGGAUUCGAGCCAUAAUUUUUGCGCUUUUGCAUGUAAUAAAUGAAAAAUAUUUUGAUCUUUAUAAACAAAAUGUAAUGCUUUGUAAACUUCAAUGAAAUAGUUUUUAACCCCUAGGAGGUGCAAGAAGCCAUUCAAAAAAUUGAAAUAAUUGGUAAAUGUUUCUAUAUUACAUCAAUCUGUCUUGUUUAUCUCUUUACAAGUUCAACUGAUCACUUAGUUUUAGUAAAAUAUUAUUUAAAAAUUUUAAUAAUCAUCAAAGAUCAUUCAUAUUUUUUUUAUUAAACUUCUAAUUUAUUUUUUAUUUCUCUUUUACCUUUUUAUGGUAAAGAAGAGACACAUAAAAAUAUUUGGGUAGAAAUUUAAACAUUAUUGACGAAUGAUGAAAAACUCUUUGGGUAGAAAUCAUUCACCGAUCAGGUGACAAUACUUACUUAUUCCUGAGAAACUAAAAUAACCAUAUUAUAAUGUUAUUUUAUUGACAAUUUUCCAUACUUGUAACACAUGUUAGAAAUAAGACCACACUCGAUUGGUACGUUAGUUAGAAAUAUAUUCUAUGUUAAGGGAUAUUGUAUAUUAUAUUUUUGGGGCCGGAGUUUAAACCCAUACAUUUUAUUUUUUCACAAUUAAAUUGUGUGAGCUCUAACCAUUAAGUUAUUUAAUAAAAAAAGACUACUUGACAAAAAAAAAUUAUAAACAGGAUUUUAUCAGCCAAUUUUGCUAAUAAAAAAUUGGCUCGCUCUAAGGAAAUUCACAAUUAUCAAAGCGGCUAAUGAUUAAACUAGGUGAGAUUGAUGGAACCCAUGCGUCGUUUUCAUGUUAAAAAGUAUCUUUAGGGUAUCAUUUAAGCAUCCAAAAGUAGUAGUUUUUAUAUUGGAAAUUAUGUAGCAUGACUUUUAUGUUUAUUUGAUUUAUUUUUAAGACAAAUUUUUUUUGUAGAUUCCUUAAGCAAUACCCUCAAAAUAUUUGUUAGCGAGACCUUUCAAAUUGAAGUAAAAAUAACAGUGACAAAAGAGGGUUAUAAUUGUGACUAUUUAAAAAUUGGAUCUUUCACUUUGUAAAAAAAAUUUCUCAAUUUAAAACAAUACACUUAACUGUAUGUGUAGUUUGAUUUGCAUGUACCGAGAGUAAAGAGUAUAGUUGCAGAGUUAACACACAAGAACUAUCAUGGUUAUUUAGUUGAAGAGUAUAGUCCUCACAACCGUGAGAUUUCACUAUUGUAUUUAGAUAACCUUUUCCAAUCUUCCCUCACACCUUAUAUCACUCUUUUUCUUACACCUUAGUUUAUCAUAGCCUUUUCAGACUACUAACACUACUAUCACUUAAUCCUUUUUUACAACCUAAAUAAGAUUAAAGGCGUUUUAAAAAAAAAAAAAAACUGAUAGGAGUUUGACUAUGAUCUCAAUUAGUGUAUUUUGUGUAUGAUUCUAAAUUACACUUUGAAUGAUGUUAAAACAUCUAUACUAUACGAGCGAAAAGAUAGAAACUUCCAAAUAAUUGGAUCUCUCUCCAAUCUUCUCUUCUUGCAUCCUAAAGUUCUUCUCUUCUAGCUCAUCUCUUCUCUCAGAUAUUCCUUAUUAGUUGUAAACCUAAUUCUCCAAAGACUACAAUCUAUUUAUAUUUUCUUGUUUGGCCUUGGUUCUCUCACAUCAUUUAAUGGACUAAGUUUCUAUCAUAUUUAUUUUCGACAAAUAAAACUUUACUCGGUAAUUCGACUUAAACCUCCUAUUUACCCAUACACCUCUAUUCUCUAAAUUUCUAGUAAUUAACUAACCCAUAAAUUCAACCACGUUAAAUAAAAGUAAUAAACACAUAAAUUUCUAAAUACUACUAAUAUUACUAAUAUCACAUAAAAAUUAUAACAUUAAUAAACUAGUAAUAAAAAUUGGGAUGUUACACAUUUAGAGCAAUAAUUUCCUUGUGCUCAAAACUUUUUAGGGCUGGCCUUUUGCAGUGAGAUUCAACAUUAAGAUUCGCCAAUUGCACAUGCUUAAGAAUAGGGAUCGAAUCCCCGUUAGUAUUUUCCCCAAUCAUCUCAUCUGUUGCAUUAACCAAAGGCAUAUGCAAUGAAGUUCUUACCACGGUGAGGUCAACUUGCUUUGCGACUUCACUCCCUUUCUACACGGUUUCAUCCACAUUAAUCAAUCGAUGCUCAAUGUGAUCAACUGGUUUCAACGUGUUGGUUGUGUCCAAGUUGACCCUUUUCUUUAGUACAUAUUGCUAUAAAAGUUUCUUUGAUGCUGGUAAUCUUUAUCCAAAGGUUUCUUUCUGAGAACAAUUGUCUUAUGGGGAUGGAUCCAUUUAAAAGUUGAAACGGAAUGACCUAUGAUAAAUCGUAUCCAUAUCCAUUAAAAUUCUUGCAUAGUGAUCGAAAAGUUUGUUAUGUGUUGGAUCGUCUAGAUUUAAUGGUGUUGCAAUGACACUGGCAAUUUUAAAGUGUGUCUGAUCAUGCCAAUAUUCCUGUGGCAAAUCAAUUAAAUGGAUCCAAACUUAUGCAUGAGUUUGACGUUGAGUAAUAUGAUUAAAGUCCUUCUGCCAUUCAGAUAUUUGAAGGACAGCCAAACAUAAAUCUCUGUAGUUUGAAAACUUGAAAUUACAAAACCCACGUUUGAGAUAAAUUAUUUUUCACCUGUAGUAUUCCACAACUUGGAAAGCUUAAGCUUCAGUCAUUCGCACAGGGGCGGAUCUAGAUAUGAUGGUUUGAUGUGGCAAAAUUAUAAAAGAAUUUUUUUAGUGUACAUUUGAUUUAUAAUAUAAUAGCAAAGUAGCUAAAGCAAGUUUGUUACAUAUCUAUGUCUCAGGUUCAAAUCUCAUCCACCACACUUUUGAUGAUUUUCUCCUUAAAAUAUUAAAAAAAAGUUUAAAUAGAUCACACAUUAAUUUGUGAAACAUUGUCAAAUUAUGUGAUAUAUAUUAUGUUUUCGGUCUACUAUAUUAACUAAAAAAAUUUGGCUGUAAUCUGGUGUGGCAGCUGCCACACCAUGCCUAACACUAGAUCCGCCCAUGUUCGCGCUAUACAUCUUAUCUCCUUUGUUUAGAACCAAUCGACCAUGAAUUCUCAUAUGCAUAAUGGGUAAUCUUGAUACAUAAAGAAUCUAAAGUAUUAAUCUGAUUUUGAGAAUCCAUAUUGCUCAGCCAAUUGAAAAAUUGAUACACACGAAAAGCAAAACGAAAUUGUUCACCCAAAACGAUCAAAGAAAGAUCACGUAACCAAGUAACAAACAUCAAUCAUUAUUGUAACAAAACAAUGGAUUCCCCAAUUUCAGUAGACUAAAGCCUGUUUGUUUCAGAUAUUUUUUUCUAAAAAAAACACUUUUGUUAUUUUUAAGUGUUUGUUUAAGAUUUUAAAAAAAUAAUCUAUUUUGACUCUAAAAUGAAAGGCUAUUAGGAUUAAUUUUUCACAAAUAUUUUUUCUUCAAAAACAAAGAGGUAACAUGUGCAAGUAAAAUGAAGAAUUCAUCUGCAUAGUCAUAUAGUGUCUUUAUUUAUUAUAGUAGGUAAUUAUGAUUAAACCAUAAUAUUAUUGUUAUGCAUUUCUUCUGAGUUCAUGAUGGCAAUAUAGUUGCAUAAUAUAACAAUACAUAUGAUCUUUUCAUUGAAAUUGACAACUUAAUCUAAAUCGUACUCAGCAGUGCAUUGACAAGU
rnacentral:lncRNA from 1 species